UUUUCUUUUUUGAUGGUGUUAUCUGUGAUAAACAAACACCAGGCUCAACAACACGAAUCAAUCUCUAUUUGCCAUUUACUUCAAAAAAUGUGAGAUGAAAAUAAAAGUUCAAACGCUUCAAAUGUAUUUCAGGAAAGGACAGCAAAAAAAACAUGUCUUCUCCCGGUGGAAUCUGCAUUUCAUGACAAAAUCCACCAGUUCAAUGGUCACAUAUGAUGUUUGCUUGCCAUUGUUUUUCCUUCAGCAUGUGAAAGCAUGUUUUUUUCUUUCGUAGGUGUGAAAAGUGUGAGGGUUUGUGUACAUAUUGUUAGCUCAACUGAAGUUAUGCUAGGUUUGCUUAAGUGUCCUGAAAUUGUGUUUACCAUUUUUAGCAAAAGCAUUUGGGAAGCUCACAAAACGCAAAUUUCAAAGAAAGUUCUGGCAACGAAUGUUUAAAAGUUACUCAUUUAAAAUGUGAAAUGAAUGUUUAUUUUUAAAGGCCACAAUAAACCGUAUAUUGAACGAGCGCAAAGAUAACUGAGCGAGUGUAUUCAGGAGCUGAGUGAACGAACCAUACAACCAUGCACGCGUAAUGCUAACUGAGCGACCCCACAUUUUACAACUGCAUGAUUGCAAUCCUAACCGAGCAGCACUCCUGCAGACUCGCUGGGUUUGCUCACAGUGUUCAAGGGGUUUUUUCACUUGGGGGUGGUAACCUUUCCGGUUGAUCUGAUUGGCCGAAGUUUGCAUGUCAAAUCCAGUGAGGCAGCUGGUCGGGACUUUCAUUUUUUUAGAGACUUUAAUAGAAAAAGAACAGUGGAUGUAUCGUUGAUUAAAACGUUAACAAAUGGCCCAAGGCCCAAGAUAAGAAAGUGCAGCGGGUUUUUCUGUGCUGGAAGUAUUUCUCAUUUGAAAAUCACUUUAUAAGUGCUGGAGUUUUUCUGCGUGAAAAGACAGACAAGGAGGUUGAACAAGGAGUGUCCAGAAAACAGUUGGAGAUUAGAAACAUAAGUGCUCCACUCAAGAACUCUCCACUGACCCUCCCAUUUCUGCAGCGAGAAGAUUAAACAGUGUUGAUAACUACUGACCCUGCAUCCCAAAGAUUUCUUUGUAACCAGGGAAACCCACUUCUUGAAUAAAAGGAUGAAGUCGGAACAGACAUUCUUAGAGCUGCUUGAGGCAGAGGUGUCAAACGGUUGUCUGUUUUCGGCUCUUCUCACAAGAAAUC